GACGAACGCUGGCGGCGUGCCUAAUACAUGCAAGUAGAACGCGGAAGUAGGAGCUUGCUUCUCUGGAUGAGUUGCGAACGGGUGAGUAACGCGUAGGUAACCUGCCUGGUAGCGGGGGAUAACUUUUUGAAACGAUAGCUAAUACCGCAUAAUAGCAGUUGUUGCAGGACAACUGUUUGAAAGGUGCAAUUGCACCACUACCAGAUGGACCUGCGUUGUAUUAUCUAGUUGGUGGGGUAACGGCUCACCAAGGCGACGAUACAUAGCCGACCUGAGAGGGUGAUCGGCCACACUGGGACUGAGACACGGCCAAGAAUCCUACGGGAGGCAGCAGUAGGGAAUCUUCGGCAAUGGAAGGAAGUCUGACCGAGCAACGACGCGUGAGUGAAGAAGGUUUUCGGAUCGUAAAGCUCUGUUGUAAGAGAAGAACGAGUGUGAGAGUGGAAAGUUAACACUGUGACGGUAUCUUAACAGAAAGGGACGGCUAACUACGUG
rnacentral:rRNA from 1 species